rnacentral:misc_RNA from 1 species
GUGAGCCAAGGGCAAUGCUCAGGAAAGGUCGAGGCAAAGCUGAUCUCCCAAUAUAUUCAAUCCAGAUAUGUAUACCUAAGCACGCCAUAAAUUUGAUCUUCUCAUUCACAAACGGAGUCGAGUGGGAUGGUCCCUACAGGCUGCAGUUUCAAGUUCCAAAGCCUUGGCAAAACAAACCAAUUGACUUUUUCAAUAAGGGUCUUGCAGACGAG